rnacentral:lncRNA from 13 species
GGGAUUUAAUCAUAGUCAAAACUAGCAGCUUGGCCACUUCAAUAAUUUUACAGAACCUUAAAGGCCCAUUGCAGUAGAAAACAUGAUUAUCUUGUGUUUUUUAUUUCCACACUAUGAGGUUGGAAUAAUACUGUGAAAUUGUGAAAAUUAUGAUCAUGCCCUUUUUAGUACAAGGGCUGUUUUGAAAUUUCAGCUUGUUGUGGUGGGAUGGAGUUUUGGUCAGGCGGUAAAUUAGUUAAUUAACCAAUAAGAAAGAGUUCCAAACCUCUCUGCCAAUAACAGCUAGUUUUCAGUUUCCCCCUCCCCACUCAGACCACUGCCAGACAGCCCUAGCAAUAUUCUUGCUUGAGAAAUUGCUCUUCUUGCUAAGAUGCUAUUUUUGUUUAUUUUUGACAACAAUCACAGUGUCCACAAUUUUUUGGGAUGGGCAGUGGGCCCCUCCUCUCCAACAGUGACGAAAUAACAGUGGGUGUAAAGAGAAUUUGAACUUGCAGCCGGCUACCACUUCUUGGUUGCUCUUGCCCGGAUCAGAACAAGCAACAUACUGGAGUGGGACACUGCACCACAGAAGCAGUGAUUGGAGAGGAUCGGCGCACCCGGGAAAUAAGUGCUUAGUGACCGACUUUCAGAUCAAAUAUUUAUUGGCCACUUUUUACGCAUGACUACACUGGGAGUAACUGGAAUUUCAAGGAUAUAAACUGAUUCUCUUUCUAUAUUUCAUGGAGUUAAAACUUUGUUUAAGGUAAUGUUUGUAGUUGUUAUUUUAUUAUACUAUAUAUUAGUACGCCUUUACUUAAAGCAUUCAGGUAUAAUGCUUUAUAACUUGUUAUAAGCAUGUAUGUAUGAGCCUUUAUGUCUUAUAAAAAAUCGUAUCAUAUUUUAUGUCUCUAUUGGCCUAUACAUUUUCUUGGACCAGGGAUACAAUAAUUAGUUAUACAUUUAUUUUUACAUUCUAUUUGAGCAUCCUUUGCAGAUGAUAGCCUCAUUGGACAAACAGUUCAGUGCGUGCAUAUUUGUAGACUAAGUUGUAUUGUCCUUAAAUACCCUGUCUGUGUAACUCACAGUCAGUGUUAUAAAAAGUACUAAAUGUCAUACUUGAGUAAAAGUAAAGACACCUUAAUAGAAAAUGACUCAAGUAGAAGUGAAAGUCACCCAGUAAAAUACUAGUUGACUAAAAGUCUAAAAGUAUUUGGUUUUAAAUAGACUUAAGUAUCAA